rnacentral:rRNA from 1 species
UACAGAGGGUGCGAGCGUUAAUCGGAAUUACUGGGCGUAAAGCGCGUGUAGGCGGCCCGGUAAGUCCGCUGUGAAAGUCGGGGGCUCAACCCUCGAAUGCCGGUGGAUACUGUCGGGCUAGAGUACGGAAGAGGCGAGUGGAAUUCCUGGUGUAGCGGUGAAAUGCGCAGAUAUCAGGAGGAACACCCAUUGCGAAGGCAGCUCGCUGGGACGUUACUGACGCUGAGACGCGAAAGCGUGGGGAGCAAACAGG